rnacentral:tRNA from 1 species
GGCAAGGUGCCAGAGUGGCCUAUUGGAGCCGUCUUGAAAACGGCCGGGCGCGAAAUCGCCCCGUGGGUUCAAAUCCCACCCUUGCCGCCA